GGCUCCUGCUUUGCCUUCCGCCAUGAUUGUUUCCUGAGGCCUCCCCGGAAGCAGAGGACGUGCUGCCAGGCUUUCUGUACAGCCUGCAAAACUUGGGCCCAGUAGAAUCACAAGGGUCCUCAAGGAGAGUCAGAGAAGGAGAUAUGAUGGCAGAAGCCAGAGUCAGAGUGUGGCCUGAGCAAGACUCCAUUAACAAUUGCUCACUCUGAAGACGGAAAGAGCCACGAGCCAAGGACUUCAGGCAGCACAGUGCCUGGCAUCAUCAAUCGGUACUAGUGCUCAGUGAUUUCCAAAUUUUGACUGAAUCAACAGAGCAACCCUCUGAGGAUGGUGCUAGAACUCUUCAUAUUUUGUAGAUGAGGAAAUGGUGGCAUAGAGAGGAAAGCCACAUGCUCCAUCAUAAAUAGCCCUAUGGAGAGGCCCAUAUGAUGAGGAACUGAAGCCCCUGAGCAAGAGCCGGCAAAGAAUUGAGGCCUCUCCCAACAGCUACAUUAGAGGGCUUGAAAGCAGACUCUCCAGUUUCAGUCCAACGUUCAGAUGACUGCAACUCUGGGCAAUAGCCUCCUUGCAACCUCAUGAGACCCUGUGAGAGAACUACCCAGCUUGGCUGCUCUCAAAUUCUCAACCCUCAGUAACGACCUUCAGUCAGAGGAAAGCAAACUAUGAUGGUCCGUGAAUGAGUAAUAGAUGACCGAGAAGGAGUGUGAGCUUCUCAUUCAAUGAAUACUGCAGAGGUUUCUGAAGACUUGAGCUCUAUGUAUCUGCUUCAUCAAUUACAUUAUUCCUUCAAAGGAAACA